UUUGUAGUUACAAAAAGUGUCUCAAAGAUUAAGCCAUGCAUGUCUAAGUAUAAGCAACUUGUACUGUGAAACUGCGAAUGGCUCAUUAAAUCAGUUAUCGUUUAUUUGAUAGUACCUUACUACAUGGAUACCUGUGGUAAUUCUAGAGCUAAUACAUGCUAAAAACCCCGACUUCAGGAAGGGGUGUAUUUAUUAGAUAAAAAACCAACGCCCUUCGGGGCUCCUUGGUGAAUCAUAAUAACUUAACGAAUCGCAUGGCCUUGCGCCGGCGAUGGUUCAUUCAAAUUUCUGCCCUAUCAACUUUCGAUGGUAGGAUAGUGGCCUACCAUGGUGGCAACGGGUAACGGGGAAUUAGGGUUCGAUUCCGGAGAGGGAGCCUGAGAAACGGCUACCACAUCCAAGGAAGGCAGCAGGCGCGCAAAUUACCCAAUCCCGAUACGGGGAGGUAGUGACAAUAAAUACUGAUACGGGGCUCUUUUGGGUCUCGUAAUUGGAAUGAGAACAAUUUAAAUCCCUUAACGAGGAACAAUUGGAGGGCAAGUCUGGGCCCAGCCAGCCAAA
rnacentral:rRNA from 1 species